rnacentral:rRNA from 1 species
GACGAACGCUGGCGGCGUGCUUAACACAUGCAAGUCGAACGAUGAACUUGGAGCUUGCUCUGGGGGAUUAGUGGCGAACGGGUGAGUAACACGUGAGUAACCUGCCCUGGACUCUGGGAUAACUUCGAGAAAUCGGAGCUAAUACCGGAUAGGACCUUGCACCGCAUGGUGUGGGGUGGAAAGUUUUUCGGUUUGGGAUGGACUCGCGGCCUAUUAGCUUGUUGGUGAGGUAAUGGCUCAGCAAGGCGUCGACGGGUAGCCGGGCUGAGAGGGUGACCGGCCACACUGGGACUGAGACACGGCCCAGACUCCUACGGGAGGCAGCAGUGGGGAAUAUUGCACAAUGGGCGCAAGCCUGAUGCAGCAACGCCGCGUGCGGGAUGACGGCCUUCGGGUUGUAAACCGCUAUUAGUAGGGAAGAAGCCUUCGGGUGACGGUACCUGCAGAAAAAGGACCGGCUAACUACGUGCCAGCCGCCGCGGUAACAC